GAAGCUGUAGCGCAGAGGUCAACGCGCCCUCUAACCAAGAGGGAGGACGCCGGUUCGAAUCCAGCCUGCUCCCCCG
rnacentral:tRNA from 2 species